rnacentral:rRNA from 1 species
AAUAGAUACCCUGGUAGUCCACGCCGUAAACGAUGAGUGCUAAGUGUUAGAGGGUUUCCGCCCUUUAGUGCUGCAGCUAACGCAUUAAGCACUCCGGCCUGGGGAGUACGGUCGCAAGACUGAAACUCAAAGGAAGUUGACGGGGGCCCGCACAAGCGGUGGAGCAUGUGGUUUAAUUCGAAGCAACGCGAAGAACCUUACCAGGUCUUGACAUCCUCUGACAACUCUAGAGAUAGAGCGUUCCCCUUCGGGGACAGAGUGACAGGUGGUGCAUGGUUGUCGUCAGCUCGUGUCGUGAGAUGUUGGGUUAAGUCCCGCAACGAGCGCAACCCUUGAUCUUAGUUGCCAGCAUUUAGUUGGGCACUCUAAGGUGACUGCCGGUGACAAACCGGAGGAAGGUGGGGAUGACGUCAAAUCAUCAUGCCCCUUAUGACCUGGGCUACACACGUGCUACAAUGGAUGGUACAAAGGGCUGCAAGACCGCGAGGUCAAGCCAAUCCCGUAAAACCAUUCUCAGUUCGGA